rnacentral:tRNA from 1 species
GCGGGUGUAGCUCAGUUGGUUAGAGUGCCGGCCUGUCACGCCGGAGGGCGCGGGUUCGAGCCCUGUCACUCGCG